CAGUCGCCACGGGAAUACGAGGGGGGCAAGCGUUGUUCGGAAUUAUUGGGCGUAAAGGGCUCGCAGGCGGUUUCUUAAGUCUGAUGUGAAAGCCCCCGGCUCAACCGGGGAGGGUCAUUGGAAACUGGGAAACUUGAGUGCAGAAGAGGAGAGUGGAAUUCCACGUGUAGCGGUGAAAUGCGUAGAGAUGUGGAGGAACACCAGUGGCGAAGGCGACUCUCUGGUCUGUAACUGACGCUGAGGAGCGAAAGCGUGGGGGGCGAACAGGAUUAGAUACCCCCGUAGUCCCUGUCUCUUAUAA
rnacentral:rRNA from 1 species